CUCCCUCUCUCUCUCUCUCUCUCUCUCUCUCUCUGUCUCUCUCUGUCUCUCUCUCUCUCUCUCUCUCUAUCUCCCUCUCUCUCUCUCUCUCUCUCAAUCGCACAUAUGAAAAUACUCGUCGUUCACAACCACACAGACAUAUGGACAUGAUGAAACUUCAAAGAUUGCGGCGUCUACCAAUUGCGAGAGAAGAUUCACCCUGACUCUAUGUGUAAAAUCUCUCUCAAUGAUUAUGUAAAUACUGCCCUAAUGUACCGAAGUUACGCAAUAAGAUAUAGGGCUGGAUAUGGGAGAUACAGGAUAUGGUGCUGGUGGUGAUGCUGACGAUGUAGAAGAUGGCGGACAUUUUUCGUAACGGUGAAAAUGCACAAACAUAUCUUGAAUAAUUUCCUCUCAAUGGAAACACAAUUCAGCGGCACGUAUGGCUUCCAGCACCUUCUCUACCACUACAAUCUUACCUAAUGCCCCCCACCGCCUCAUCGCCACGAUUCACCACGCGAUCACCGCGGCCAGACUCUCAAUGUUACUGUUGCUGACUUUGCUGUCUUUUCACUGUGUAGAUCGUCGGAGUUGUUGCCUUCCCAGUGUGUAGGUCACACAGCCAGCAUUAGUUUUCGUGUGAGACAGCUGUGUGUGGUUUCUGAUGCUCCCUUCGCCUCAACACACACCACCGGGCGUUCGCUGCUAUAGCCCUCUGCAGUACCGCAAACGACUUCGUGUUGGCGCAGCUGUGUAGGCAUGGGUCUGUCUGUAGCUGUACUGGCAGGUUAUUUUACCCAUGGCGAGUUGUAUGUAGUUCUAUAAUCUUACAAUAUACUAAUAUACACGUAUGUAUGUGUCUGAAUGUAAGUGGAGUAUGUGUGUGCUGUGCAGCUGUAAGCAAGUAAAUGCAGUUUUCCUAAGUAUUUCCUAGAGAAAAUGUGCUUCCUUGGUUUCAAAUUUAAGAAGAUUUCAACGCCGUCAGGCCAUGUUAGCGCAGUGUCAUGCAGAGGGCCAGCAUGCCAAAAUCCACACAGUGCUGUGCUUUCCCUCCUAAUGUACUACUUAAUGUACCAUUAUCAUGUUAUUGUACUUAUAUAUAGUUCAUGUCUCAAAUAGCUUUAUAACGAUUCCAUGUGGAAUUUAGCAAUGCAUGAAUGUGAACCGCAAGUGUUACGCAAAAAAUACAGUAUAGCAAUACGUAAACAUCACUCUAAUUCUGAAAGCUUGCUAGAUCGCUGUCUGACAAGUGUGCUUUAGUUUUUAGCUUUUUUGUUUCCAUUUUAUUACCUAAACGCCCUAGAAUAUGCGCCACACGGCAUGAACAAUGCCAUAUGCUGUUUGCUUGGGUUACACUUGUUUGUUAAUGGUAUAUAAAAAGCAUUUGUAGUCGCUGACUUCAUGUUAGAUCGAUUUGGCAAAUCCUGGUUGCCAUUAUCUGUCCAUCUGUCACUAAGCUGUUACACUUAGUGGUCUUAUAUAAUCAUGCUUCAUUAUGUUGUCACAUGUAUCAUACACCAUUAUGUUGCCAUACACAUAUAUAUCAUGUUACAUUGAUUUAUCACGUCAUAGUACAUUUAGCCCUACAGGAGUUUCGCGGUUCAAAGUUGAAUUUGAAUAUCCUGAACUGAAUACUGGAGACGCGUCCCCCGUCUGCCAUUGCUUCCACCCAAUCCCUUUGUUGCCGAGAGCUGUAAGGAGAAUAAAGUGUGACCCAAAGCCACCGUGUGAUUCAUGACCUUCUAGUGUGAAGUGAAUAGACACUCUGCCUCGUGGGAUGAUGCAGCUUUUAUGGCGACUGAGAGAGCUGAGGCGUGUCAAAGUUUUCUCUGCUGAAUAGAGAUGCUUUAUACAUACACAGGAUCGAUUGGUUAUACUUCACUGACUCCCUCGCUUGAAAAGGUCAGGAUGUUAGGUAACUUCUUUCACUGGACAGGUACAUGUUGUUACCCCAAAUGGAUGCCCUUCGGUUGGAGGCCAUAUUGGUUCACAGCCGCUUACGAGAUCACUGUAUAUAUUCAUUUCUUUAAAAAAAAUGCAUGGACUUUAUGUGAAUGUAGGAUUGGAAUGAAAUUAAACAUCCGCAUUACAAAAUCAAACAAAUUAAACACUUAACCAUGGCAGUUUGAGCCAGACUAGAUUACACUUAAAACUAAAAUCAUAGGCAUAUAUUAGGAGUGAUGGAUAUCCAGGGAGAAAGAGAGGGAGCUGUAGUUUGCUCCACCAUCUUUUAAUUCCUGAAACUGAAUGAAAAGUACAGUAUGCUUUUGUGUCCACAAGAUGCUCACAUCACAACAAUAGAAUAAUUGAAUCAUGGUCGUAAUCUAUAUAUAUUGUUACUCCUUGUGUAAUUGAACCCUGAGGUCCACCAAGCUCUGGAUUCACGUUGAUAAUUAAAUGAAGCAAAUACUUAAGUACCUGCUAAAAAUUACCCACUUCCGUUCUCUGUCAGAAUUAAGGAUUACUUUCCUUUUUGUAAUUUCAGCAGGGACUUUUUUAUUUUUUUAAGUAUGUACCUCUAUAUGUUAUAUUUUCGUAUUUUAUUUGCUUUUCAAUAGUUAUUUUAUGGCAUAUUUUUUCAUAGUAUUGUUUUCUUAUAUUCAGAUUUUACAUUUUAUUAAACUAAUUAAAAUACUAUAAAAGAUAUACCCCCUAAAUGGAUAUGAGCCAAUCAGGUCAACGGGCGUGUUAGCCCAGCCAAUCAGAAUCAUUCAAGGUCCCGCUCCCUUGCUAUGAUUUUCAAAAGCGAGGUAGUUAACGUUGACGCUUGCGAGUGCUUGGACAGGCUUUCCUCGUCCCCCCGUCUCGCACUCGCAAUUAAAAGAUAAGUAUUUCCGACGUAUCCUUUGGUGGUGUUGGUCCAGGACUCCAGGUAUGAAAUGUGUUAUUAGGGUAUUCUCUUGUGACAUGAGUAAUAUACUGAUAAUGUAAUAAAUUAAUAGAUUGUGAACCUACAGUACAACUAUAAGGAUCCCUCAAAAGCAGUCCAGUCAGUCGAUUUGUUACUUAGAUAAAUACAUAAAUUACCAGGGAAAAACAAACGAACUCCUAAUUAUAGACAGAUCAGCGAUAAAUGAAUAUCCAAGUAUGAAAAUGAUAUAUAUAUAUAUAUAUAUAUAUAUAUAUAUAUAUAUAUAUAUAUAUAUAUAUGGCACGGAAAUUAGAUGUAGUUAAUCAUGAAAUACUGAAUGAUUGAUAAGCUGAUGAGGUAAAUAAAUGAGCGAUGAAUAUAAUAGAAAACUAAAACAAAUUACCAGCGACCACAGCUAACUUUUCACUUUUACCGUGAAUUAUUGUAUUAGCGCGUCUGGUGCUUCAAGUGGCGACAGACAUUGUAGAUACUAGAGAUUUUGGUUGAAAUGCCAAUAUGAUCAUAGUCUUUAGACAUUGUUCUAUGUCUACUUUGGAGUGCAGUGUCUACCGGUACUUUUGGUUUGCAGAUGAAAUCGCCUGACCUCCUGUGAGAGGACGACGCUGCACGACCGUGAACCAGGGGAGAUGAGGCUAUCAUUCCGCGCAUGUGGAUGAGCAUGUGAUAACAGGAGGCAUUUGAAUUGAGACUCAUCUGUGAUAUAAGUAUGUAAUGGUACAAUGCUCAAGAAUAUGGUCCAGCCUAUCCCAGAAGCUGGUGUGUGUCAGGGAUGCCUAGCUCCGUGUCAAAUGCCCGUUUGGAAGAACUGUAGUGGACAUGGCUCUGGGUUUGUGAUUGAUAAUUGAACCGUGCAUAUACUUAUAUACCUACUGAAACAUGCCCACUUUUGUUCUGACAUUUUAUUUUCUGUAAUUCUAUCAGGGACAUCAUUUUUAUUUUCUUGUAUUUUUUCAUUUUAUUCCACAUAUCAAUCAGUAAAUACCCAUGUGUAAUCAUGAAAUAUAAUGAAUGUUUAACAUGAUGAAUAUAGUAGAAAAAUGAAAGGUUGCCACAUUCAUUCAUUAUUUGAAGCUGAAAUAUUAUAAAUUAGUGCCUGACUUAUACCAUUCCCUUUUAUUUUAUGUUAGAAUUUUAUUAAUGUUCCCCAUACCCUGUCCUGUUUUGCCCAUUACAUAUGUGGCUAUAGGUUUAAAUCAUGAAUAUUCAGGAUGAAAUGUUUAAUAAAUAGCAAAAUCCCAGCACAGCAUGUUUAUUGACCAUUAUUAAUACAAAAAUUACAUUAGGCAGUGUAAAAUUCCACUCAGAAUUUUGCAAUUUUGUACUAAAGUACAAACAAAUAUGAAAAUAUCUGAAGUAAUUUUACUUUAACUUAAAGUAAAAUGUGACCUGUUUAUAAU
rnacentral:lncRNA from 1 species